UUCAGAGAGAGGGGAGGGGAAACAAUGCUGGGUCAUUGGUCUAUGGGCAUGAUUCUCUCUUUGGGUGAGAGAGGUCCCGGGUUCAAAUCCCGGAUGAGCCCAGUACCAAGGCGUUUUUGACUUUUUGCAACUUCACCUUACCGUUUCUUUCUGUAACAGCAGAAGGAGGAGGAGCAGAUUCGGGGAGCGGACCUAUAAAGCUUCUGAAAGCAGAGAGAAGAGAAACGCGGACUUUAGCAGAUAGAAUUUAGAUUGGACUCCUAGACCUCAGGCACAUCAUAACAGAGACAACUAGCGCGAGGGAAGGGAUGCACUUUCAACCCAGAUUUCUUGGAUAUUAGGAGGUUAAGUGAGGAUGGACCACCCGUCUCCGCACUCUGGGCGUGGCCCUGUUUUCUCAAGGCAACCUCCUUCAUCUGGGAUGGGCAGAUGGAAUACAAAAAUGGAAGAAGUGGCGAGGGGCUUGGUAAAGCUGGCACUCACCUGACAUUUACUGAGCUCUGGCGCUGCUGCGUGGCAAGGACCCUCCACGCAGCCACCCCUUGACUCCUAGGGACUCCGUCUAAUCGUCGGGAAUGACCUCGGCGUCCAGACAGCGAGCAGCUGCGCGGGCAAACGAUCCCACCCUUGCUGCCCGUAACCAAGGCCAAGACCGAGGGGACCUCGGAUUGUGGACCUGAGGCUGUUUCACACUUUGUAGGUUGUGAAGGGAGACUGGAAAAGUUGAUUAUUUUGGCGUAUACGGUCCUGGAAUUUGCUUCUAUAGGAUUAUCUAAAACAUAACUUUCUUAUCACUGAGCGCUUCGAGGUCCGCCGUUGUUUCAACUGCCACCACAGAGUACAAGCACCCUAGUGGUUGGUGUGGCUUGUUGGUCUGGGGGUAUGGUUCUCGCUUGGGGUGUGAGGGGGUCCUGGGUUCAAGUCCCGGAUAACCCCGCUUU